CAAAGACUACUGCUCUCUAUGCUUGAGUCUGACAAAUACAGCAUGUUACACCUGUUUCCAUUUCCAUUUUCGUGGGAAAUUAUCCUAAAACGCCCAUCAUCAUGUGUCGUUUCCCUGCGAGAAACACACAUCCACCAGCUUAUUCCUCCGCCUGCCACAGACUUACCACAAGCCGGCUAAGAUAACACCCUCCACAUCAGAUCUGACCGUAGAGGUGGAGAUGUGGAGGGUGAAGCUGGCGUGUCUCUCCUACUUCACCCUUCAUUGACCAAAAAACACUGUUCAGAGACGCAACCGCUGUGCAUGUAGAGCCCGCGCGUCACGCACAGGCAACAAACACAGAGUGCACAGCAGCUUUUAGAUCGGGAAAUGACAUGAGACGGACCUCUCUAGUAGAUAAGUCAUGGAAACUCAGAAGUGUUCGAGUUUUCCUGUCAUUCAAAGCAGCAGAAACAGUCUGUGGCAGAACGUCUUUGAGUUCAUUUGCUGUGCAUGACAGUGGACGCACUGCCCAUCUGCACAUCGCAGUCAUCAUCAUCGUGAGUGUAAUCGAGUCAAACUCAUCGAUAAAUUGCUGCAUCACCUUUGAGGCCAUCCCUCUGUCUAUUCUUUUCAGAUGCUGCGAAGACAGUGCCUGUGUCAGUGGCGCUGCUGUCCUUGCUGCUGCUGUUGCUGUUUCUAUCCUGGUGAAACAAGGAAAGAUCCAUUUUCAAGAAGAUGCUCAGGAGAAGGAGGGGGGAGAAGCAAAGAAGCCCUGAAGCAGUGAAAUGACAGAAAGUGGCCUUAGAGGAGGUUGAUGAGAUGAUUUAAAAAAUGGGCUGUUUACAAAGGUUGCCUCAGGAUGCACUUGUGUGUGACAAACCAGAGUAAAAGGGCAUAUAUAUAGUUUACACUUAGUCUGGAAUUUAUCCAAUCAUAUUAUUGUUAGUUCAUGUGGUGAAGAAGUGGGAUGGGACACACUCUGUGUUGGUAGUCAGUAUUUCUAACAUUAGUACACUACAUACAGACUCAUUCAUUAAAAAAACACUAUACCCAUACACAGAAUUACACCCAACAGAACACAGAACAACUACUGUUAAUGACUACUUUUUAAAGAUGAUCAGGGAUCCAUAGUAGUAUUAUUAGGCUUGCUAACUGAGGUAAUCAUUGCUAUCAUACUGAUUUUAUAUAUAUAUAUAUAUAUAUAUAUAUAUAUAUAUAUAUAUAUAUAUAUAUAUAUAUAUAUAUAUAUAUAUAUAUAAUUAACUUAACUUCUUAGUAUUUAUUGCACACCCACCAGUGAGGUGACAUAAGGUAUAUAAUACAAUUAGGUAGUUGCUAGCUCUGAGAGUUUAAAAUGGUUUCCUAAUGCAUGAGUCCACAACACUACUACUACUUUACUUGAAGCCUUUACUUGAAUCAGCGCUAACACCAAAGAAAUGAGUGUUCAAAGCUGUAUGGGGAGGGUGAAGUAAUGCUGAGGGAUGGGCGAGUGUGUGUUGGAGGGAGGGAUGCAUGUGCUGAUCUGGCAUCUAUCUCAUUAUCCUUCUGUACAUUUUUGGUUGCCAAUAAAUAAUGAUGUAGAAUAAAUUCAUUACAAUAAGUUAAUAAACAUAUUUAUGAAAUUUCA